rnacentral:lncRNA from 1 species
UUUGUUUCUUUUUGUUUCUUUUUGUUUCUUUUUUGCAUUGUUCUUACCCCUUUUUUUUCACACACCAGAAUUUUUUUUCACACUUCUUGCACACACACACAGAAUUUUGUCUUAGCUAAUUGCUCUACUCAACAUAGAUAACAAGGUUAAAAGAGCUUCCUUAUAUCAUGACCCCAUUGAUUUGCCACCCCUUUAAGCCUAAAUUGAAUCAUUUACAGUAUGUUACCUUCACUUAGGGAGUUUUUUCUCUUGAACUGAAUCCUUAAAUUUGCUAUGGUCAAGGGAAAUAAAAAUACAAAUACAUGCAAACAAAAAGUUAGUGUAACUCCCUAUGAGCUGAUUUGCCCAAACUAUCAUGAAAAACCAGCACAAAGCACCAAUCAUAAACCUGUUCCAAUGGUCUAAGACUAUG